GUGCUCACUUCAGCAUCACAUAUACUAAAUUGAAACGAUAUAGAGAAGAUUAACAUGUCCCCUACGCAAGAAUGACACGCAAAUUCAUGAAGCGUUCCAUAUCUUU